rnacentral:rRNA from 1 species
AUGCACGCUGGCGGCGUGCCUAAUACAUGCAAGUCGCGCGAACGGACGAGAAGCUUGCUUCUCUGAUGUUAGCGGCGGACGGGUGAGUAACACGUGGAUAACCUACCUAUAAGACUGGGAUAACUUCGGGAAACCGGAGCUAAUACCGGAUAAUAUUUUGAACCGCAUGGUUCAAAAGUGAAAGACGGUCUUGCUGUCACUUAUAGAUGGAUCCGCGCUGCAUUAGCUAGUUGGUAAGGUAACGGCUUACCAAGGCAACGAUGCAUAGCCGACCUGAGAGGGUGAUCGGCCACACUGGAACUGAGACACGGUCCAGACUCCUACGGGAGGCAGCAGUAGGGAAUCUUCCGCAAUGGGCGAAAGCCUGACGGAGCAACGCCGCGUGAGUGAUGAAGGUCUUCGGAUCGUAAAACUCUGUUAUUAGGGAAGAACAUAUGUGUAAGUAACUGUGCACAUCUUGACGGUACCUAAUCAGAAAGCCACGGCUAACUACGUG